AUUGUAGCAUAAGUAUAUCCCAUGGAAUAUUUGGGAUAUACUUAGAGUCUAAAA
rnacentral:miRNA from 1 species